CCCUUAGACGUUCUGGGCCGCACGCGCGCUACACUGACCAGUGCAAAAAGCAUCCGUCCUUGGCCGACAGGCCCGGGCAAUCUUUGAACGCUGGUCGUGAUGGGGAUAGACUUUUGCAAUUUUUGGUCUUCAACGAGGAAUUCCUAGUAAACGCAAGUCAUCAACUUGCAUUGAUUACGUCCCUGCCCUUUGUACACACCGCCCGUCGCACCUACCGAUUGAAUGGUCCGGUGAAGCCUCCGGAUUGGCGCGCACCUCGGUGCCGCCGAGAAGUUGGCUAAACCUUACCAUUUAGAGGAAGGUGAAGUCGUAACA
rnacentral:rRNA from 1 species